rnacentral:rRNA from 1 species
AUUGAACGCUGGCGGCAGGCCUAACACAUGCAAGUCGAACGAGUGGCGGACGGGUGAGUAAUGUCUGGGAAACUGCCCGAUGGAGGGGGAUAACUACUGGAAACGGUAGCUAAUAACGCAUACCAUCGGAUGUGCCCAGAUGGGAUUAGCUAGUGGGUGGGGUAACGGCUCACAUAGGCGACGAUCCCUAGCUGGUCUGAGAGGAUGACCACCCACACGGGACCGUAGACACGGUCCAUACUCCUCCGGUCGGCAGCAGUGGGGAAUAUUGCACAAUGGGCUCAAGCCUGAUGCAGCCAUGCCGCGUGUAUGAAGCAGGCCUUCGGGUUGUAAAGUACUUUCAUCGAGGAGGCGUUACUCGCAGAAGAAGCACCGGCUAACUCCGUGCCAGCAGCCGCGGUAAUUC